rnacentral:rRNA from 1 species
UACGAAGGGUGCAAGCGUUACUCGGAAUUACUGGGCGUAAAGCGUGCGUAGGUGGUUUCUUAAGUCUGCUGUGAAAGCCCUGGGCUCAACCUGGGAAUUGCAGUGGAUACUGGGCGACUAGAGUGUGGUAGAGGGUAGUGGAAUUUCCGGUGUAGCAGUGAAAUGCGUAGAGAUCGGAAGGAACAUCUGUGGCGAAGGCGACUACCUGGGCCAACACUGACACUGAGGCACGAAAGCGUGGGGAGCAAAC